UACGGAGGGUGCAAGCGUUAGUCGGAAUUACUGGGCGUAAAGGGUGCGUAGGCGGACUUGUAAGUCAAAUGUGAAAUUCCAGGGCUCAACCCUGGAGCUGCAUUUGAAACUGUGAGUCUAGAGGGAUGGCGGAGAAAACGGAAUUCCACGUGUAGCGGUGAAAUGCGUAGAUAUGUGGAAGAACACCUGUGGCGAAGGCGGUUUUCUAGCCUAGUCCUGACGCUGAGGCACGAAAGCAAGGGGAGCAAACAGG
rnacentral:rRNA from 1 species